GUCAGCAGCUAGGUUAGCUAAUUUAUUAGCUGUCAGUGCUAGCCUGUCACUCCACAUGUCUGGGAGAAGUGUGUCUGCAGGUACCUGCACAGGUGGAACAAAACGUGCUGCAGUGCGUGUAAUAAAUGUCCAGGAGGCCCAGGUGAAGGUGCAGGACUGUGUGUUGAUUUGAUGUUUGCUGCCACCAGGAGAGAAGUUUUGUUGCAGGUCGAAGGACAACAGCUAGACAACAAACUCACACACAGAGGGGCAUAAAUCAGCUCCCUGCACUGCUCCACAGGCUCUGAAGAACAAAAUCAGCCCUCUCACUCGGGUUCUCCAUCUUCUGGGAAUGCCAUCCUGACAUUAAUGGCCCAUUUAAGCAGCUCCAGCAUAGUGAGACUGGAUUGACUGGAGAGAUCAGGC